UACGUAGGGUGCGAGCGUUGUCCGGAAUUAUUGGGCGUAAAGAGCUCGUAGGCGGUCUGUCGCGUCGGUCGUGAAAACUUGGGGCUUAACCCUGAGCUUGCGGUCGAUACGGGCAUGACUGGAGUUCGGCAGGGGAGACUGGAAUUCCUGGUGUAGCGGUGAAAUGCGUAGAGAUGUGGAGGAACACCAGUGGCGAAGGCGACUCUUUGGCCUGUAACUGACGCUGAGGCGCGAAAGCGUGGGGAGCAAACAGG
rnacentral:rRNA from 1 species